AAGAGGGAACCCGGUGCGAGUCCGGGACUGCCCCGCAGCGGUGAGCGGGAACGACAGCCGUCAUACGCACUGGGUCGGCCGACCUGGGAAGCGACGGCCGGUAGGUGCAUCCGGGAGGGUGCGUGCCCGCGAGUCCGAAGACCU
rnacentral:ncRNA from 2 species